rnacentral:rRNA from 1 species
AGAGUUUNNCCUGGCUCAGGAUGAACGCUGGCGGCGUGCCUAAUACAUGCAAGUCGAGCGAAUGGAUUAAGAGCUUGCUCUUAUGAAGUUAGCGGCGGACGGGUGAGUAACACGUGGGUAACCUGCCCAUAAGACUGGGAUAACUCCGGGAAACCGGGGCUAAUACCGGAUAACAUUUUGAACCGCAUGGUUCGAAAUUGAAAGGCGGCUUCGGCUGUCACUUAUGGAUGGACCCGCGUCGCAUUAGCUAGUUGGUGAGGUAACGGCUCACCAAGGCAACGAUGCGUAGCCGACCUGAGAGGGUGAUCGGCCACACUGGGACUGAGACACGGCCCAGACUCCUACGGGAGGCAGCAGUAGGGAAUCUUCCGCAAUGGACGAAAGUCUGACGGAGCAACGCCGCGUGAGUGAUGAAGGCUUUCGGGUCGUAAAACUCUGUUGUUAGGGAAGAACAAGUGCUAGUUGAAUAAGCUGGCACCUGAC